rnacentral:rRNA from 1 species
CAGCCGCCGCGGGAAUACGGAGGGUGCAAGCGUUAAUCGGAAUUACUGGGCGUAAAGCGCACGCAGGCGGUUUGUUAAGUCAGAUGUGAAAUCCCCGAGCUUAACUUGGGAACUGCAUUUGAAACUGGCAAGCUAGAGUCUUGUAGAGGGGGGUAGAAUUCCAGGUGUAGCGGUGAAAUGCAUAGAGAUCUGGAGGAAUACCGGUGGCGAAGGCGGCCAUCUGGGACAACACUGACGCUGAAGCACGAAAGCGUGGGGAGCAAACAGGAUUAGAUACCCCUGUAGUCCCUGUCUCUUAUAC